UGGGAUUCUUGGAGGCACACUGGGACUACUGACAAUUCACCUUAGCAAGUCAAUGGGAGCUUACCACUUCUCUCUGCUUGUUGUCCUGGCCAAGUUCAUCCUGUCCAUCACUUCAUUGGGCUUGUUUGAGGCCACAAUCACGGCACAUCUUGCGACCAGGUAUGUUUGCAAGCUGGCUGUGCUGUUGGAGCAAACCUGAGGGGACUCUCACAGAACUGACAGAUCCUGAGAAAAUACCGGAUGGAGCAACAUGAAAUCGGCAAUAUUGAAGUUCUAGCCAAUAACGAUGUCGAAGAAUAUUCUAAGAAUGAUGAUUUUUGCAGUUGAUACGUCUUGCAAUUCAUUCGAACAGAAGAUGGUUGCAGUAAUGGAUCCUGGCUGACAGGCAGCAUCUAUGAGCCUUCGAUAUAAGGUGCCUUAUGUGAGAUAUUGCCAGCUAGUGUGCUUGUUCAAGCAGUAAUUAAAAUUAUCAACAUGUCCUCAUCUUAACUUGUGGUCAUUAUGUGAUUAUUUACAAUUUUACAUCAAAACACAUAUUUUUGUCUAUAAGCUUGUAUAUGCCAAUUGUGCCACAAAAAGAGAUUGUAUAUUUAUUGUUUUUAUAUGAAUAGUUCUAUUUUAACAGUAACUUCUUGUGUUUGUAUGCCAAAUAUUUUUGUUGUAUUUAUCCGGGGAAGGUGGGGGGGCGGUGGGAUUAUAAAACACUUGAUGCUCACUCUGAGGUUUGAAAGUGGUCUUGGUUAUUAAAAAAUUCCUGACGUUUUUCACUA